rnacentral:rRNA from 1 species
UACGUAGGUGACAAGCGUUGUCCGGAUUUACUGGGCGUAAAGAGCGCGCAGGCGGUCGUGCAAGUCGCGUGUGAAAGCCCCCGGCUCAACUGGGGAGGGUCACGCGAUACUGCUCGACUCGAAGGCAGGAGAGGGAAGUGGAAUUCCCGGUGUAGUGGUGAAAUUCGUAGAUAUUCGGAAGAACACCAGUGGCGAAGGCGGCUCACUGGCCCGUUACCGACGCUCAGGCGCGACAGCGUGGGGAGCAAACAGG